rnacentral:lncRNA from 1 species
AUACUAGGGGAAAAGGAAUGCAGAGGAAAGUCAACAGAGGUUGAAACAAAAAUAAAACAUUGUUUGUUUCAGACCAUUGCAAGGGCAUUCCAUCCUUAUGAAAACCAGAGAUACACUGAGUACAGGCUUUGAGGACAUUGUGGAUGAAGGCUAAGACAACUGCUUUUCCUGGAUGUCUUCUGGACAGAACAGGGAUGCUGAUUCCAUGAACUCUAAUGAUAUGGCUGCCCAGACAAGAAAUGCAAACUUCUAGCUGGUCUACACGUCAACAUGGAUGGUAAAAAGCUCACAAGUUUUCACUCCUUAGAUGGAGAGAUACAAGCAGUCAUUCCUUUGAAGACAGUGACUGUGGAACUCAAUGAAGAUAUUCCAAUAACCAUAUGGAAUUGGCAGGCCCUAGCAGAUACUCAUAAUUGGUUCCAAACAUUUCCUCUUCUUAACUGUUCAAAACUGUAUUAUUUAAAAGGGAUAUUGAUGUGAAGAAACUGAGUAACAUGGGCCGAACUGAUUCUGGUUACAUAAGAGGAAGAAGAGAUCACUGAAGUGGU